AAGCGCUUAACACAUGCGAGUUGAACGCUCCGCCCUCUACUGCCCUUCGGGGCAGAAGAGGAUUACGGAGAGUAGCGGACGGGUGAGUAACGCGUAGGUAACCUGCCUUGGAGAGGAGGAUAACUCUGCGAAAGCGGAGCUAAUCCUCCAUAUGUUAGGGCAUCGUAAGAUGCCUUAAUGAAAGGCGGCAUUAAGCCGUCGUUUCAGGAUGGGCCUGCGUCGGAUUAGCUAGCCGGUAGGGUAAAGGCCUACCAGGGCGACAAUCCGUAGCUGGUCUGAGAGGACGAUCAGCCACUUUUGGGACUGAGACACGGCCCAGACUCCUACGGGAGGCAGCAGUGGGGAAUCUUCCGCAAUGGGCGCAAGCCUGACGGAGCGACGCCGCGUGAGUGAAGAAGGCCUUCGGGUCGUAAAGCUCUGUCAGUGGGGAAGAAGGCAGUCAUCAAGAAAAGGGUGACUGUUGACGGUACCCGCAAAGGAAGCCCUGGCCAACUACGUGCCAGCAGCCGCGGUAACACGUAGAGGGCAAGCGUUGUCCGGAAUUACUGGGCGUAAAGGGCGCGCAGGCGGCAAGGCAAGUCGGGUGUGAAAACCUGGGGCUUAACCCCAGGCGUGCAUUCGAAACUGUCUUGCUUGAGGACAGCAGAGGGAAUCGGA
rnacentral:rRNA from 1 species